UACGGAGGGUGCAAGCGUUAUCCGGAUUCACUGGGUUUAAAGGGUGCGUAGGAGGGCAGGUAAGUCAGUGGUGAAAUCCCCGAGCUUAACUUGGGAACUGCCGUUGAUACUAUCUGUCUUGAAUAUUGUGGAGGUGAGCGGAAUAUGUCAUGUAGCGGUGAAAUGCUUAGAUAUGACAUAGAACACCAAUUGCGAAGGCAGCUCGCUACACAUAUAUUGACGCUGAGGCACGAAAGCGUGGGGAUCAAACAGG
rnacentral:rRNA from 1 species